UCGUUCAUAUGCAUGCAAACAUGCACGCACACACACGCACACACACACACUUCCGGGCCCACAGCCACCCUUUAUUCCGGAGGAGAGUAGGUGGAGCCACUCCUUCCUCCUUUCACACACACCCUCCAGCUAACUUCUGUGGUUUCUGAAUGAAAGUGUGGUGGUGAAACAGUUUCGCUCUGCCCAGGCUUUGAACCACACAGAGCUACUCUAGCAGCACGCUGUCCUUAGUCUCUGCAAAAAAAAGACGAAAAUGAGCCAAGUGCUUCUUGCUGCUUUCAUUUUCCAGAGACUUAGCCCACAGCCCACUCAGUAUCUCUGACCUAACCCUGCAGUCUGAUGAAGGUGCUGCUUCUGGGUUCCUGGAGCAUCCGCGGGCACCUACCUCCGGUCAGGUCUCUGUGCCUCUGCUCUGGUGCUGCCACAGAGGAAAGGGAAGUGCCCACGAAUGGAUGGCUGACUUGCUGCAAACACUGUCUUUAUCAGCAGGAGAUGCCAACAUAGCCUCAAGUGUCCACCUGAUCCAAGAAGCUCACUCCUCACCAGCAUCUCUCUCCAACCCAUUGUUCAGUCCAAUCCAUGUCUGAAGAGUUGGCUUCAGGAAUAGUUCUGUCCUGGGCCAACAGAAGAUCUGGGGGCCAUGACCACCGGGGUCCUCCCAGUCUCAGUCAGACCAUUAAGUCUGGUCUUAUGAGAAUUUGGGGUCUGCAUCCCACUGCUCUCCUGCUCCCUCAGGGGUUCUCUGUUGUGUUCCCUGUCAGGGCAGUCAUCGGUUGUAGCCGGGCACCAUCUAGUUCUUCUGGUCUCAGGAUGAUGUAGUCACUGGUUCGUGUGGCCCUUUCUGUCUCUUGGGCUCGUAAUCACCUUGUGUCCUUGGUGUUCUUCAUUCUCCUAGUAUCCAUAAAGUUUUAUUGGAACACAGUCAUGCUCAUUCAUUUACAUGUUAUCUGUGGCUGUUUUCCUGCUACAAUGCCAGAGUUCAGUACUUGCAACAGAGACAGUCUGGCCCUUGAAACCUAAAAUAUUUUCUAUCUGACCCUUUAUAUAAAUGAUCUAGAACAUUUUAGGUUCUCAAUACAAGUUAGUUUCUGCCCAGGGGAACCUCUCCACUGUUUUCUUUCUAUUCUCCAAAAGUCUCAGUUGAGGUCUAACACUGAUUAUAAUGGUUAUCAAGAAGGGCUUUUACUAGCCAGCUGAAGUAAUAGACUCCAACUUUGACCAUGUUUCAGCACCUCCUUUAGGUGCCCCAUUGCCCUCCCUUACCUGUUCCCCUUCACAAUUGCAGCUUGUCCUAAAGGGAAGUAGGUAGGAAGUUUACAAAAAAGUGCAUGCUGUUUCCCAUUUGUUAAUGUUCACAUAUAUAUCUUAUUUAAUUCCCACACCUUAGGUAAUUUGCUCAAAAAUUAUAAAACCAGGAAAAAAAAAAAAAAAAACAGUUGCCAUUGUUAGUCUAUUCCGAUUCAUGGCAACAAAAUUUACAGAGCUUAGGAAAUGGCAGUAUUAACAGCCUUCUGGAGUGGGUCCAGUGAGUAACCUCCCCAUACACACUGCGUCUCUGCUGUUUCCGCAUGCUUUGUUUAUUCAACUCUAUAUGACACUUGAUCAGUUCCUGCUGGGGGAGGGGAGCAGCCCAACCCCACACAAGUCAAAUAUUAAUCUUACAUUUACCAAGAUGAGUAGCUAAUUAGCUGGGCAACUAUGUUUCACUGAUGGCAAAAGCUUAUUUCAGUUACCCCUUUCACUCUUAGGUAACGUUUUAAUCCCAGUAUAUUUUAACUCUAACCUUCUGGAACCUACAUAAAUGCCUUUGUUGUGUAUCUUAAUGGGAAGAGAACACAGUGGAAAGCUGAUGAGGAAUUUCUAUUUGUACAGGUGUGAGUCCCUUAAACUCACAUUAUGCAGUUUUUUACCUUUCCACAGGGCACUUCUGUAAUCCUGUAUAUACUCAAAUUUUACGAAGUGAAAAAUGUGUUUUCCUUUGUAUUUUUGUAUUUGGGCACCUCACACUGGCUGGUAAUGCCAACUCAUAGCAAAUUAAAGAUCCAUAGAUAAUGUUAAAUUCAGUGAAUACACUACUUACACCAAACUUAUUAGUAAACCUUGGUGAUAUUUUUUAUUCUUUCAUGUAGAAGCUGAACAUAUUUUGUCCCUAUUUUCACAGUCCUUUUAUACUGUUACUCAAAUUCAAUCUUUUCCCUUCUCAGCCCAUUUUAGUUUCUCUUUUGUGGAGCUCAUUCCCAUGUGAGUACUUAGAACCCAGGGAAAACCAAAGGGAAGAUAACACCGGGUUCGUUGCUAGCAUUGGCUUCGAAGCAACAUUGUCCAGGGACUAUGCUUGCAGGGAAGGUGUAAAAUGCCUCUCCGAGUUGAGCCCAGAGGUUUUACCUUAAAGACUCAUUCAAACGAGUCUUGUGAAGUUGCUGCUUUCCUGGAAUAGGCAGUUUUAAAUAGUAAAUGAUUGUAAAGAAACUCAUUAGGAAAGGCAUAUUUUUACCUCCCUUUUGGUCAUUGUUAUAGCAGAGGAUUCAAUCAAGUUUAAUUUAUUCAGCCAGGUGCCCAUGGAAGCUGCCUCACUUGUUUGGCUUUGUUUUCGAGAAAUCCUUCAUCACUUGUGUUCUGAGCGUCAGUGAGCUAAUCCUGUCGCUCUGUCAGAUCCGUGGUAGACAAAGGCCACUAGCACAGUCUCCACAAUGAGAAUGGGCAGAAAAUCUAUUAAUGUGUCAGUUGCCUGUGAAUUAUGGCCAAGAUAUUUGCCCAGCAUAUGGCACAAGGUUAUCAUGUUGUAAAAACAACUCAUUUGAAGCAAAACAUCCACACAUGCAUACAGACACUCCUAAGUACUUAAAAAAAAAAAAAUUUUUUUUUUUUUUUAGUGGUAUUAAAAAAAAUUAUGCUCAACAACAAGUAUUGAGAAUUUGAAGUGGCCACUAAAAGUAGAGUUAAUCUAUUGAGAGUAUUUUACCUCCUAUGGGAUAAACCUAAAACCUGGUUGUGUAGUGGUUAACAGCUACAGCUGCUAACCAAAAGGUCCGAGGUUCAAAUCCACCAGGCACUCCUUGGAAACUCUACGGGACAGUUCUCUUCUGUCUUAUAGGGGCACUAUAAGUCAGAAUCGAAUUGAUGGCAAUGAGUUUGGUUUUGAUUUAUGAGAUAAAAAUCAAUUAGAGAUAAAAUAAAAUCAGAGAAGCUUCUAGGGAUAAAGUGGAUAAAUAGCCACACGUAGUUUUAGUCUUCAAUUAGGAGUGAGGAGAGUGGUCCCUGGGCAGGAAAGAGUGCUGUGACCAGAAUCUGUUUAACCCAUGAGGAUGUUUCAGUGGGAAGGAACAAAGUGAUGUCAUGAAGAUAAGUAUCACCUGGCCUUCUAACAGACUGCCCCCGCUUCCAUAGGCCCAUGAGGUUUGACCUUCACCUUUGGAAUCUCAGAAUCUUAGUUAGCAGCCCAAAAUUAAUACUGACUCACAUGAAGACACAAAUGUAUAAAAUAGAAUGCCAAAUCAUUCAUUUGCAAUGAGAAAUAUAACUGCCCAACUUAACAGAUAUUAAGUCAGCCUAAUCAAAGAAUUCUCUCGCCGUUAGUAAGAGAAGCACAUGACAGUGUCUUCUCGUGUUAAAGUUAAUACUGGGUGGGUGUCUUGGGGGUUGGUGGUUGCAGGGUAGAGAGAGAACAGAAAUAGGCAUUGUGGAGCAGAUUCAAUGGUGAUGGCAUCUUUUUUCUCCUUCUGGAUCCAUAACCUAGAUUUUGAACCCCUCUGGGGAGUGAGGCAUAUAGUCAAAGGCUGAGGUGAGGUUUCAUGGAAAACUAUAUGAGAUUCCGAGCCUAGGAGAGAAAAUGGCCCUUUAGAGUUGGGAAAGGAGCCUUCUCAUUAUUCCUGCAUAAACUAUAGUGACAUUUGUGUGUCCACACCUGUCUUAGUCAUCUAGUGCUGCAGUAACAGAAAUACCACAAGUGAAUGGCUUUAACAUUUAACAAAGAGAAAUUUAUUCUCUCACAGUCUAGUAGGCUAGAAGUCCAAAUUCAGGGCACCAGCUCCAGGGGAAGGCUUUCUCUCUCUGUGGGCUUUGGAGGAAGGUCCUUCCCAUCAAUAUUCCUCUGGACUAGGAGCUUCUCUGCCCAGGAACAGCAGGUCCAAAGGACACACUCUGCUCCCAGUGCUGCUUUCUUGGUGGUAUGAGGUCCCCAACUCUCUGCUUGCUUCCCUUUCCUUUUUAUCUCUUGUAAAAUAGAAGGUGGUGCAGGCUACACCCCAAGGAAACUCCCUUUACAUUGGAUCAGGGAUAUGACCUUAGUAAGGGAGUUACAAUCCCAUGCUGAUCUUCUUUAACAUAAAAUUAUGAUCACAAAAUGGAGGACAACCACACAAUACUGGGAAUCUUGGCCCAGCCAAACUGAUAAACUCAUUUUGGGGGGGAAAAAAUUCAAUCCAUGACAAUACCCCUGGCCACACAGGACUGAGAUGUAACCCAAACAGAGCAUGGAACUGGUGAACUAAUGAUCUCCCCUUGGGCUUUUCUAAUAGAGCUGGUGGGGGGAAACUCUUUCUUCUCUGUGGUGUGGUACUUCGGCAUGAAACCCUGAACUGCUUCAGCUAUGUCCUAAAAUACAUGGAGACAGCCUGUCUGCAAUAAGAGAAAAUGAAGCCAACAGGAAGAGAGGAGCUGAGAUGAAAGGCAGAGAGUAAGAGCCAGAUAGCUUGAAGGUUUCUUCUUCCAGCUUUCCCCAAUGUCAUUUCAACCCUGGGUUUCCAGGGACAGAAGAACUAUAUAAUAGGGUUUCCUUUGUGCUCAAGAUAGGUUGAGCUGGGUUUUAUCACUUGGAACAAAAAGAGUCAUGGGAGAUACAAGUAACAUAGUGAAGGCAAAAGAGACAUAGAAUUAAGUGGGUUCUUGAGGGCUUUACUAUUUGGGAAGCCCUGAGGAGUGCCCCUUGGGAAGGAUAACUUCCUCCCAGAGAAGCAGAGGGGCUGGAAGGACAGAAGUGGAUCCUGAUAAAUAUUUGAAGAUAAUUUGAGGGCUGAGCUGUGUAGCUCUACAAAAAGUUAACAAAUCAUGACUUUGGGUGUUAAAGUUUGGGACCCCCAGGCCCUGAGGAUGUUUGAAUUAAAAAUAAGAAGGCAAAGUAUCAAUAGUCUGAGUGGUUAGCCUGGAAUCCUAGCAAUGAGGAUCAACACAAGUUGUAUGGCUUCAGUAUUUACUGGCAUCAGGCUCUGAUGUCUAUUUUCGUAGCAGAAUAUGUCUAUCAGGUAGAUAUUAAUUCAUUCAUCAUUCAGCAAAUAUCUAUUAAGGGCCUACUACAUCCCAGGUACCACCGUAUACUCACCCUUACCAGUGUGCCUGGGAUGUGCGAAAAUUUUUUCGCACAUCCCA